rnacentral:rRNA from 1 species
CCUACGGGUGGCAGCAGUGAGGAAUAUUGGUCAAUGGACGAGAGUCUGAACCAGCCAAGUAGCGUGAAGGAUGACUGCCCUAUGGGUUGUAAACUUCUUUUAUAAAGGGAUAAAACGAGGCACGUGUGCCUUUUUGCAUGUACUUUAUGAAUAAGGAUCGGCUAACUCCGUGCCAGCAGCCGCGGUAAUACGGAGGAUCCGAGCGUUAUCCGGAUUUAUUGGGUUUAAAGGGAGCGUAGAUGGGUUGUUAAGUCAGUUGUGAAAGUUUGCGGCUCAACCGUAAAAUUGCAAUUGAUACUGGCAGGCUGGAGUACAGUGGAGGUAGGCGGAAUUCGUGGGGGAGCGGGGAAAUGCUUAGAUAUAACGAAGAACCCCGAUUGCGAAGGCAGCUUACUAAACUGUGACUGACAUUGAUGCUCGAAAGUGUGGGUAUCAAACAGGAUUAGAUACCCUAGUAGUC